rnacentral:lncRNA from 1 species
GUCUGCCAAUAGCUAAGACCUCUGAAAGGAAGGAAAAAAAAAAAAAGAAUGCAACAAGACAAAAAUUAGUUUUCAUUGGCUUCUAAGCCAAAGUAACAAGAUCUAUAACACUUUCAACAUCUUAGCUCUGGAGCACUGGACCUUUAAUAAAGAGAGCAUUCUCCCCAGUUGCAUAAAAUCAGAAAGAUACUAAAGAAAGGUCACUUCAGAGUGAAUCUGCUGGCUUUGAGAUUUAAAGGAAACUGUCUUGUAACUUGUUGCUGUUUUCCAGAGAUUUUACUCAUCAUGAUGGAUAAGGAAAUUUACUACCAGCUGUGAAAAUCACAUGACUGCUGACUGCUUUCAGUUGCAAUUAUAGUUGAAUGCACAAGCUUGCCACAAUCACCCAGACGCUGUCAGAGUGUGUGUUCCUCAAUUCAUCAUGAUUUUUCCCAGUUUGGGUCAUCACUGUCUUGUGUAGGACAAAGAAAAGAAACUUUUGAAGAAAGGAAUUUAUCUUUCCAUCUAGACCAUAGUUUCUUACCAAGAUAAACACCAGUGAUGACACCAUGAGAAGAGUGGUCUCCCCUGUGUCACAGGUACAAUCUAUUGUAUAUUGCAAGAUUUUUAGUGGAAACAAAUGUUGGAACU